rnacentral:lncRNA from 1 species
UAUUACUUGAAACAGAAAUUAAACGAACAUUGUUAACUAUUACGAUUAAUAACAACUAAGUAUAUAAAUAAUUGAACUAAUCUUUUGGUUUCUUCAUGAAAUUAACACAAAGACUCAGCUAUUCGACCGGCCAGGUCUACAAACUGAAAAAUUCAGACUUAACAACUCGAUACAAAAUGGUCGACCGACUAGGUCGAAGGAAUAAAAAUCAGAACUAACGAACAAAUAAAUAAAAAGGUCGAACGGCUAGGUCGAAGGACUGAAUGCUCAAACUCAAACAAAUCCAUGCAAAAUAAUCGAUCGGCUAGGUCGAAUAACAGAAAAUCAGAAUCAAUAGGUCGAAGGACUGAAUGCUCAAACAUAAAAAAAAUCCAUACAAAAUAAUCGAUCGGCUAGGUCGAAGAACAAAAAAUCAGAAUCAACAGGUGAUAACAAACUACUCGACCGGCUAGGUCGAAGAACUGAAAUUCACGUUUAUAAAGUCGAAAUGUAAUUAAAAUAAUAACCAUUGCACAUAAAUAACAAAAUAUUAACAGAAACUAAACCUUG